UGAGUACGAGAUGCUACGGCAUCGAAGCAGUCUAUGUCAUACUUCCAAGAAAAGCUUGCACUGUCAGAAACAGAUAAUGCCUGUACCAUAACCGACACAGGUGGGUAGGUAGAGUAUACUAAGGGGCGCGAGAUAACUCUCUCUAAGGAACUCGGCAAAAUGACUCCGUAACUUCGGGAGAAGGAGUGCCUUAUUUUUAAGGUUGCAAUAACAAGAUCCAAGCAACUGUUUACCAAAAACACAGGUCUCCGCUAAGUCGUAAGACGAUGUAUGGGGGCUGACGCCUGCCCAGUGCCAGAAGGUUAAAGAAGUCGGUUAGCAUUCGCGAAGCUGGUAACUGAAGCCCUGGUGAACGGCGGCCGUAACAAUAACGGUCCUAAGGUAGCGAAAUUCCUUGUCGGGUAAGUUCCGACCCGCACGAAAGGCGUAAUGAUUUGGAUACUGUCUCGGAGAGGGGCUCGGUGAAAUAGACUUGUCUGUGAAGAUGCGGACUACCUGCACCUGGACAGAAAGACCCUAUGAAGCUUUACUGUAACUUGAAAUUGAAAUUGGACUUUAUUUGCGCAGUAUAGGUGGGAGGCGUUGAAAAUAUUCUUGCGGGAAUAUUGGAGCCAUCAGUGAGAUACCACUCUUGUAAUGUUAGAUUUCUAACUUUAUAUCAUUAUCUGGUUAAAGAACAGUUUCAGGCGGGCAGUUUGACUGGGGCGGUCGCCUCCCAAAUGGUAACGGAGGCGCACAAAGGUUUCCUCUGAACGGGUAGAAAUCGUAUCUAGAGUGUAAAGGCAUAAGGAAGCUUGACUGUGAGACCUACAAGUCGAGCAGGGACGAAAGUCGGUCUUAGUGAUCUGACGGUGCUGAGUGGAAAGGCCGUCACUCAACGGAUAAAAGUUACUCUAGGAUAACAGGCUGAUCUCCCCCAAGAGUUCACAUCGACGGGGAGGUUUGGCACCUCGAUGUCGGCUCAUCGCAUCCUGGGGCGGUAGUACGUCCCAAGGGUUGGGCUGUUCGCCCAUGAAAGCGGUACGCGAGCUGGGUUCAGAACGUCGUGAGACAGUUCGGUCCAUAUCCGGUGUAGGCGUUAGAAUAUUGAGAGGAGCCUUCUUUAGUACGAGAGGACCGAGAAGGACAUACCUCUGGUGUACCAGUUAUCGUGCCAACGGUAAACGCUGGGUAGCUAUGUAUGGAGUGGAUAACCGCUGAAAGCAUCUAAGUGGGAAGCCCACCUCAAGAUAAGUAUUC
rnacentral:rRNA from 1 species